CAUAGAGGGUGAGAAUCCCGUAUUUGGUUAUUCUUUCUAGCUUUGUGAUACACUUUCAAAGAGUCGGAUUGUUUGGGAAUGCAGUCCAAAAUGGGUGGUAAAUUUCAUCUAAAGCUAAAUAUUGGCGAGAGACCGAUAGCGAACAAGUACCGUGAGGGAAAGAUGAAAAGAACUUUGAAAAGAGAGUUAAACAGUACGUGAAAUUGUCAAAAGGGAAGCGUUUGACACCAGUGUUGUUUUUCCGAAAAUCAAUUACGAAUGGCUUGAUUUUGUGUUGUAUUGACCUUAUCAGCUUUCUUCACUCUUUUUCGAGUCUUUCUUAAUGCACUUUUCGGUUAACAAGUCAACAUCAAUUUCUUUUGUUGUAAAAGGGUAUUUGGAAGGUGGCUUUCUUUUCGGAGAAAGUGUUUAUAGCCUUAUACCUCUGCAAUCGGAGAGAUUGAGGUCUGCAGCGUAGAUCCUUCGGGGCUAGAUACACUUGUGCUAAGUUAUAGCUUUUCAUAGACAACUUGUUGACUAUGUUUAGUCAUGUAGCUUACCCGCUUGUGCUAUUUUACCUACGCUUAGGAUGUUGAA
rnacentral:rRNA from 1 species